rnacentral:rRNA from 1 species
CACGUAGGGGGCAAGCGUUGUCCGGAAUUAUUGGGCGUAAAGAGCUCGUAGGCGGUUUGUCGCGUCUGCCGUGAAAGUCCGGGGCUCAACUCCGGAUCUGCGGUGGGUACGGGCAGACUAGAGUGAUGUAGGGGAGACUGGAAUUCCUGGUGUAGCGGUGAAAUGCGCAGAUAUCAGGAGGAACACCGGUGUCGGAAGGCGGAUCUCUGGGCCGAUAACUGACGCUGAGGAGCGAAAGCGUGGGGAGCGAACAGG